rnacentral:lncRNA from 1 species
UCACGGUGGCCGCUGGUGUCAGGGAGAUGGCCAGCGACGUCAGGGAGGAAGUGAGGGGAGGGGCCUGUGGCCUCAGCUCACGGGCUGGGUUAGGGCUGGUGUUGGAGAGGAAGAGGCGGACCCGUGGUGGAGAUGGGGGCAUGACCGGUGGUGGAGACGGGGUGGUGGAGGACGGCGGCGCAUGGGUGAGCGAUGGCAGCUUCAAGGAGUUGGCAUCGGGGAGGGGGCCGUAGUGGUGCUCCGGGAGGUGCGGCAAUGUACGAGUGAGUGGUGGCGGCAUCGAGGAAUGCGGUGGUGGAGAUGGGGCAUGGC